AUUGGCAUGGCUCCAGGCGUCGACGGGUAGCCGGCCUGAGAGGGUGACCGGCCACAUUGGGACUGAGAUACGGCCCAGACUCCUACGGGAGGCAGCAGUGGGGAAUAUUGCACAAUGGGCGCAAGCCUGAUGCAGCGACGCCGCGUGGGGGAUGACGGCCUUCGGGUUGUAAACUCCUUUCACUAGGGACGAAGCUUUUUUGACCGUACCCGCAAAAAAAACACCCGCCAACUACCUGCCCCCAGCCCCGGG
rnacentral:rRNA from 1 species